AGAAAUCCAGAAUCAGAAAAGAGAGAGAGAGAUCGAAUCUGAAGCCCGAGCAAACAGUUUCACAUAAAAGAUAGUGCUGGAAUCAGAUCGAAAGGGAAGGAACACCAAUAACGGUGAAAUCGUUGAACCAAACCCUAGAACCAUCAAAAUGAGCUUCUCCGACGGAAUUCAAGCAAUACGAAA